rnacentral:rRNA from 1 species
UGCCAGCAGCCGCGGUAAUACGGAGACCUCAAGCGUUACUCGGAUUCACUGGGCGUAAAGGGUGCGCAGGCUGUUAGGUAUGUCAGGUGUGAAAUCCCGGGGCUCAACUCCGGAACUGCGCCUGAAACUACCUAACUAGAGACUCGGAGAGGUAAGCAGAAUUCUAGGUGUAGCGGUGAAAUGCGUAGAUAUCUAGAGGAAUACCAAUGGCGAAGGCAGCUUACUGGACGAGAUCUGACGCUCAUGCACGAAAGCGUGGGGAGCGAAAGGGAUUAGAUA